UGAGACAGGAAGGCAGGAUGUUGAUACGCUAGGUUAGCAACUUAUCAGGAGAUGGUUACGUGAGCUUUGCAGCAGGGUCUUUGAACAAAAGAGGCAACUGAGAUGCUGAAGGAGAGAAGGGGAGGGGGUUCUCUUUUUUUGUUACAUUAAGCAAAGGAAUUUUCAUAGUGUCUAGCCAAGCAUUAGACAGCUCCUUACUUCAGCAGGGAGUUUUCACAACUCCCGUUCCUCAAACGGAACUCCUUGUUUUUAUAAUACAAAAGACAAUGAACAAACAUUUAUUGUGUAUUACGGUCCCCACAUCCCAUCCCAAAGCAUGCAGGGGUUGAGCAGGAGCCACCUUUAUUCCAUGGGACAGGGGACAACGGGGACAGGGACAACAGGGACAGGGACAAUGGGGACAAUACGGACAAAGGACAUGGGACAAUGGGGACAGGAGACAAUGGGGACAAGGGGCAGGGGAAAUUGGGGGAUGGGGACAAGAGGGGACACGGGGAGGGGGGACAAAGUUGGGGGUGGUGGAGACAGGAGGAGGAGGGGACGGGGACAAUGGGGAUGGACCGGGAAUGGGGGGACACCUGGGGACAUGGGGGAACUUGGGGACAUUUUGGGGUGUUGGGGGCACCUGGGGACACCAGGGGACACCAGGGGAGACCAGGGGAUGUUGAGGGACACUUGGGGACAUGGGGGAUAUGGGGGACACCCAGGGGUGUUGGGAGACACCAGGGGACUUUGGGGACUUGGGGACAUUGGGGUCACCUGGGGAUUUGGGAACACCAGGGGACGUGGGGAUGUGGAGACUCCUGGGGGUCUUGGGGACAACCAGGGGGUCUUGGGGACACCAGGGGCCAUUGGGGACGUCCCUCAGAUGGCGAUGCUGUUCUCGAUGGCGGCGGGGUCGAGGUAGGGGUAUGGCAGGGGCAGCGCGGCGUUGGGGACAUUGGGGACACCGGGGGAUUUGGGGACUCCUGAGGGUCUUGGGGACAUUGGGGACACCUGGGGACAUUGGGGACUUUGGGAACAUGCAGAGGCGUUUGGGAAAUGUGGGGUUGGAGACAGCUGGGGAUUUGGGGACACCAAGGGAUGGGGAGGCUCCUGAGGGUCUUGGGGACACCUGGGGACACUGGGGACAUCUGGGGACAUUGGGGACACCUGAGGAUUUUGGGGACAGGUGGGGACAUUUGGGAAAUGUGGGGUUGGAGACAGCUGGGGAUUUGGGAACGCCUGGGGAUUUGGGGAUACCAAGGGAUGGGGAGAUGGGUGAGGGUCUUGGGGAUAACCAGGGGGUCUUGGGGACACCAGGGGACAUUGGGGCCACCAGGGGACAUUGGGGCCAUUGGGGACGUCCCUCAGAUG
rnacentral:lncRNA from 1 species